rnacentral:rRNA from 1 species
GAUGAACGCUGGCGGCGUGCCUAAUACAUGCAAGUCGAGCGAACAGACGAGGAGCUUGCUCCUCUGACGUUAGCGGCGGACGGGUGAGUAACACGUGGAUAACCUACCUAUAAGACUGGGAUAACUUCGGGAAACCGGAGCUAAUACCGGAUAAUAUAUUGAACCGCAUGGUUCAAUAGUGAAAGACGGUUUUGCCGUCACUUAUAGAUGGAUCCGCGCCGCAUUAUCUAGUUGGUAAGGUAACGGCUUACCAAGGCAACGAUGCGUAGCCGACCUGAGAGGGUGAUCGGCCACACUGGAACUGAGACGCGGUCCAGACUCCUACGGGAGGCAGCAGUAGGGAAUCUUCCGCAAUGGGCGAAAGCCUGACGGAGCAACGCCGCGUGAGUGAUGAAGGUCUUCGGAUCGUAAAACUCUGUUAUUAGGGAAGAACAAAUGUGUAAGUAACUAUGCACGUCUUGACGGUACCUAAUCAGAAAGCCACGGCUAACUACGUG